CAACAUCGCGUUUCUUUUGUCCCUUAUAUUAAUCGUAAUUAACCUUAGACAGUAUUCAAUUUGGCAUCUCAGAAAAGAAAUACAGUUCGCUCUACCAC